rnacentral:rRNA from 1 species
AAAGGAAUAGACGGGGGCCCGCACAAGCGGUGGAGCAUGUUGCUUAAUUCGAGGCAACGCGAAGAACCUUACCCAGGUUUGACAUGCAUAUGACCGGUGGUGAAAGCCGCCUUCCCUUCGGGGCAUAUGGACAGAUGCUGCAUGGCUGUCGUCAGCUCGUGCCGUGAGGUGUUCGGUUAAGUCCGGCAACGAGCGCAACCCGUGCCGUCAGUUACCAUCAGGUAAAGCUGGGGACUCUGGCGGGACCGCCCGUGUCAAGCGGGAGGAAGGCGCGGAUGACGUCAAGUCCGUAUGGCUCUUACGCCUGGGGCUGCAAACGUGCUACAAUGGCCGGUACAAAGGGGAGCGAGUCCGCGAGGCCAAGCGAAUCCUCAAAACCGGCCCCAGUUCGGAUCGCAGUCUGCAACUCGACUGCGUGAAGCCGGAAUCGCUAGUAAAGGGGCAUCAGCAACGGCCCCUUGAAUACGUUCCCGGGCCUUGUACACACCGCCCGU